rnacentral:rRNA from 1 species
GACGAACGCUGGCGGCGUGCUUAACACAUGCAAGUCGAACGGAAAGGCCCUGCUUUUGUGGGGUGCUCGAGUGGCGAACGGGUGAGUAACACGUGAGUAACCUGCCCUUGACCUUGGGAUAACUUCAGGAAACUGGGGCUAAUACCGGAUAGGAGCUCCUGCUGCAUGGUGGGGGUUGGAAAGUUUCGGCGGUUGGGGAUGGACUCGCGGCUUAUCAGCUUGUUGGUGGGGUAGUGGCUUACCAAGGCUUUGACGGGUAGCCGGCCUGAGAGGGUGACCGGCCACAUUGGGACUGAGAUACGGCCCAGAAUCGUACGGGAGCCAGCAGUGGCGAAUAUUGCACACUGGGCGGAAACCUGAUGCAGCACCCCCGCGUGCGGGAUGACGGCCUUCGGGUUGUAAACCGCUUUCGCCUGUGACGAAGCGUGAGUGACGGUAAUGGGUAAAGAAGCACCGGCUAACUACGUG